AGUGAACGCUGGCGGUAGGCCUAACACAUGCAAGUCGAACGGCAGCACAGUAAGAGCUUGCUCUUACGGGUGGCGAGUGGCGGACGGGUGAGGAAUACAUCGGAAUCUACUUUUUCGUGGGGGAUAACGUAGGGAAACUUACGCUAAUACCGCAUACGACCUACGGGUGAAAGCAGGGGAUCUUCGGACCUUGCGCGAUUGAAUGAGCCGAUGUCGGAUUAGCUAGUUGGCGGGGUAAAGGCCCACCAAGGCGACGAUCCGUAGCUGGUCUGAGAGGAUGGUCAGCCACACUGGAACUGAGACACGGUCCAGACUCCUACGGGAGGCAGCAGUGGGGAAUAUUGGACAAUGGUCGCAAGCCUGAUCCAGCCAUACCGCGUGGGUGAAGAAGACCUUCGGGUUGUAAAGCCCUUUUGUUGGGAAAGAAAAGCAGCAGGUUAAUACCCCGCUGUUCUGACGGUACCCAAAGAAUAAGCACCGGCUAACUUCGUG
rnacentral:rRNA from 1 species